rnacentral:rRNA from 1 species
GACGAACGCUGGCGGCGUGCUUAACACAUGCAAGUCGAGCGGUAAGGCCCUUUCGGGGGUACACGAGCGGCGAACGGGUGAGUAACACGUGGGUGACCUGCCCUCAGCUCUGGGAUAAGCCUGGGAAACUGGGUCUAAUACCGGAUAUGACUCCAUGACGCAUGUUGUGGGGUGGAAAGCCUUGUGCGGCUGAGGAUGGGCCCGCGGCCUAUCAGCUUGUUGGUGGGGUGAGGCCUACCAAGGCGACGACGGGUAGCCGGCCUGAGAGGGCGACCGGCCACACUGGGACUGAGACACGGCCCAGACUCCUACGGGAGGCAGCAGUGGGGAAUUUGGGCAAUGGGCGAAAGCCUGACCCAGCAACGCCGCGUGAAGGAUGAAAUUUUUCGGAAU